AGUUUGUCAUUUUAGAGAUUUCACUGCUACUUGUAGUCGACAGGAGCGCGGCAGCCACCGUCACACCGCCAAACAGCCACCAUGGGUCGUAUGCACAGUUGAGGUAAGGGUAUUUCAGCUUCAGCUCUUCCAUACAAGAGGACUCCACCAAGUUGGCUGAAAAUCUCUGCUCCUGAUGUUGAGGAUAACAUCUGCAAGUUUGCCAAAAAAGGUUUGACACCUUCUCAAAUUGUGUUAUUCUUCCUGAUUCUCAUGGGAUUGCUCAGGUGAAGAGUGUUACU